rnacentral:rRNA from 1 species
GGAUAACUUACCCUUAGGACUGGGAUAACUCUGGGAAACUGGGGAUAAUACUGGAUAUUAGGCUAUGCCUGGAAUGGUUUGCCUUUGAAAUGUUUUUUUUCGCCUAAGGAUAGAUCUGCGGCUGAUUAGGUCGUUGGUGGGGUAAUGGCCCACCAAGCCGAUGAUCGGUACGGGUUGUGAGAGCAAGAGCCCGGAGAUGGAACCUGAGACAAGGUUCCAGACCCUACGGGGUGCAGCAGGCGCGAAACCUCCGCAAUGUACGAAAGUGCGACGGGGGGAUCCCAAGUGUCAUGCUUUUUUGUAUGACUUUUCAUUAGUGUAAAAAGCUUUUAGAAUAAGAGCUGGGCAAGACCGGUGCCAGCCGCCGCGGUAACACCGGCAGCUCGAGUGGUAGCUGUUUUUAUUGGGCCUAAAGCGUUCGUAGCCGGUUUGAUAAGUCUUUGGUGAAAGCUUGUAGCUUAACUAUAAGAAUUGCUGGAGAUACUAUUAGACUUGAAGUCGGGAGAGGUUAGAGGUACUACCGGGGUAGGGGUGAAAUCCUAUAAUCCUGGGAGGACCACCUGUGGCGAAGGCGUCUAACUGGAACGAUCUUGACGGUGAGUAACGAAAGCCAGGGGCGCGAACCGGAUUAGAUACCCGGGUAGUCCUGGCCGUAAACGAUGUGGACUUGG